GGAGAGGAGAGGUAAGGUAAAGGACAGGAGAGGUAAGGUAGAAGAGAGGUAAGGUAGGGGAGGGGAGAAGGUAGAGGAGGGGAGGGGAGAGGUAGAAGACAGGAGAGGGGGAGAGGUAAGGUAGAGGAGAGGGAGAGUUAAGGUAGAGGACAGGAGGGGAGAGAUGAGAGGGGAGAGGUAAGGUAGAAGACAGGUGGGGAGAGAUGAGAGGGGAGAGGUAAGGUAGAAGACAGGGGGAGAGGUAAGGUAGAGGACAGGAGAGGAGAGGUAAGGUAGAAGACAGGUGGGGAGAGAUGAGAGGGGAGAGGUAAGGUAGAAGACAGGGGGA
ensembl:lncRNA